rnacentral:rRNA from 1 species
ACACGUGGGCAACCUGCCUUAUAGAGGGGAAUAGCCUUCCGAAAGGAAGAUUAAUACCGCAUAACAUUGUAGCUUCGCAUGAAGCAGCAAUUAAAGGAGCAAUCCACUAUAAGAUGGGCCCGCGGCGCAUUAGCUAGUUGGUGAGGUAACGGCUCACCAAGGCGACGAUGCGUAGCCGACCUGAGAGGGUGAUCGGCCACAUUGGGACUGAGACACGGCCCAGACUCCUACGGGAGGCAGCAUG